rnacentral:rRNA from 1 species
UCGGGAAUUUUGGGCAAUGGGGGAAACCCUGACCCAGCAACGCCGCGUGAAGGAUGAAGUAUUUCGGUAUGUAAACUUCGAAAGAAUAGGAAGAAUAAAUGACGGUACUAUUUAUAAGGUCCGGCUAACUACGUGCCAGCAGCCGCGGUAAUACGUAGGGACCAAGCGUUGUUCGGAUUUACUGGGCGUAAAGGGCGCGUAGGCGGCAUGACAAGUCACUUGUGAAAUCUCUGGGCUUAACCCAGAACGGCCAAGUGAUACUGUCGCGCUAGAGUGCAGAAGGGGCAAUCGGAAUUCUUGGUGUAGCAGUGAAAUGCGUAGAGAUCUGGAGGAACACCGAUGGCGAAGGCAGCCCCCUGGGCUAACACUGACGCUCAUGCACGAAAGCGUGGGGAGCAAACAGGAUUAGAUACCCCGGUAGUCCCUGAGCGGGCUGGCAAGGCGCAU